rnacentral:tRNA from 1 species
GGGCUAUUAGCUAAGCGGUAAAGCAGCCGCCUCUUAAGCGGAAGAGCGUAGGUUCAAAUCCUACAUAGCCCACCA